AAUGCUGUUGAAGAGAGAAGAAGGUCGUCAGCCAUUCUAGUCAGUUUCUCCUCAAAGUUUGGACAUUAGACUAGAAUACAACUUUGAUUCAGAGCAGAAUUCAAUAAUCCUGUGAAUGGACCACAGCGAGUCCUUUUGCAGUUAUCCAUCAAAAAGAUAUGCAGACAUAAUGGAAAUGGCAUUUACAUUGUAGAGCUUGGACAAAGUUCACACAGGCUCUGCGCAGGAAUUCAUCAAGGACAUGACUGCUGGGAUUACGCUUGCGGAUGACCAAACUGAGCACCAUCAGUCUGCAGUGAUGUGGUCCAGCCAUCCAGUGACAUUAAGGAUGUUGAGAAAGAAAUUGAAGAGAGCAUUCUGAUUGUAACUGAAGAACAGCUAUUUGUUGUGUGUUCCAAGGAAUAACCAACAUUGGUCUCAUUUGGACAUCCUGUCAUCACUGACAUCUCCCAUGUCCCCAAGGCAUAUGGACUCCUAAUGGGUCUGUAUGCAGUGAACAUCCACCACCUCCAGCGCAUUAAAUACACCAUUGAGGCUCUGCAAAAACUUGUGAAGAUCAGCUGCUCCCACCAUGUGCUCGCUACAGCGGCAGGAACUGUAGGUGUGGGGGAGUGAAUGUCCAGCGCUCUCUCCACCCUCAACACCACAAAUAAGGUGUCCUUGAGCAAGGCACAACUUCUCCCUGGGCGCUGCAGCAUAAAUGGCUGCCCACUGCUCUGGGUGUGUGUUCACGGUGUGUGUUCACUGCUGUGUGUGUGCACUUUGGAUGGGUUAAAUGAAGAGCACAAAUGUAUGUCAUGUCACUUUCACUUUUCAGUGUUCAUGAUGUGUCCAUCGGCUCCACCGCACUCUUUCUUAAAAAGUAGUGUUUUUUUUUUUUUUUUUUUAUAAGGAAAGGUUCUUUUGUGCCUUUCACUAUAUAGAAUGUACAUUAAAGUUUACAUGUCAUGACUUGGAAUAUGCAUGUUCUCAUGUAAAAAAAUGUUUUUUCACCUCUCAUUUUCUUAAACAGUAUGUACACAUUUUCAGUAUGUAGCAUUAUGAUGGGGGACGAGUUUGGAAACUUUCAAGAUCCUUCUGAUGUUAACACCUCUGUCUGGCUAUGAAAUUUUGAAUCUGACUUUAGAUUUUUGUGCUUCCAUGUGCAUUCAUUCCAUUUAUAUCUUAUUAUACAGAAGUACAGUACACUCAUUUUUUGUAACUAAUUGUGAUAUUAUAUUACAUAUAUCUUGGUUUCUCAUUUUGACCAUGACUUGCAUUAUGGUGGGGGGAGUGCAUGUGAACUUGU